rnacentral:rRNA from 1 species
CGAAGGGGGCUAGCGUUGCUCGGAAUUACUGGGCGUAAAGGGCGCGUAGGCGGACAGUUUAGUCAGAGGUGAAAGCCCAGGGCUCAACCUUGGAAUAGCCUUUGAUACUGACUGUCUUGAGUUCGGGAGAGGUGAGUGGAAUGCCGAGUGUAGAGGUGAAAUUCGUAGAUAUUCGGCGGAACACCAGUGGCGAAGGCGACUCACUGGCCCGAUACUGACGCUGAGGCGCGAAAGCGUGGGGAGCAAACAGGAUUAGAUACCCUGGUAGUCCACGCUGUAAACGAUGAGUGCUAGUUGUCGGCAUGCAUGCAUGUCGGUGACGCAGCUAACGCAUUAAGCACUCCGCCUGGGGAGUACGGUCGCAAGAUUA